CUGUGAUUAAACUUUCUACACUGCGUGAGCGGCAACUACAACACGAAAACGUAUGUACUAUUGUCAAAAUUAACAAAACAAACA
rnacentral:misc_RNA from 1 species